rnacentral:piRNA from 1 species
UACUUUGUGGUGUAGUAGACUUCUAAGAAG